CAUACAUGCUAAGCAUGCGCUCUACCACUGAGCUACAUCCCCUGCACAAAUUCCAAAAAUUACUUUGUUUUUGCCUAUAUAAAGGAAGAAGUGUGAGAAAAAAACAAUGAAUGGAGACGUUUCCAAGGGAAAACCUACUAUGACUGGCAAAAAGCUGACUUGGAAAGACUGAAUGCAUCACUUUAAAUAAAAAUCCUUGUGAAUUUGGAGUUUCAAAGUGGGACUGCACACGUUAAGGUAUGAAUAUCAAAAAAUGACUCUGCGGUUGGACUAGAAAGCUCUACAGUCAACUUCGUUGCUGGCAGGACUCGAACCUGCGCGGGGAGACCCCAAUGGAUUUCUAGUCCAUCGCCUUAACCUCUCGGCCACAACAACACAAAAAAACUAAAAGUAAGUAGAAUUUUGCUAAUAUCAGACACUGGCUAAGUUCAGGCUUAAUGUCUUGUAGUGCAGUGAUUCCUGACUCUUGCUAAUCCUGAGCCGGUUCCAAAGAAUGCUGUACCCUUUCUGCUCAUUCCUCUGAGCCUUUUUGGAAUUGGACGAACACAUUUAGUUUGUUUCUCUGCCAGAGUCAAAUUUGCAAUAAUCAAAAGAGCUUUUGAAGCCUGGAUAGCUCAGUCGGUAGAGCAUCAGACUUUUAAUCUGAGGGUCCAGGGUUCAAGUCCCUAUUCAGGCUUGAAGUUUUGUUGUGGAGUGACUUUCUGGUGAGAUGCCUGACUCUUGCUAAUCCUGAGCCGGUUCCAAAAAAAGAUGUACCUUUUCUGCUUGUUCCUCUGAGCCUUUUUGGAAUUGGGUUUCUCCUCAGUCGUCUUAUAUAUUCGUUUAACAAGUAUUGUUUUACAAGAUUACCUUUCAAUCAAGGUCAAACCUCAGUUGGUAGAGCCUCAGACUUUUAAUCUAAGGGUCCAGGGUUCAAGUCCCUGUUCAGGCUUGAUGUCUUGUAGUGCAGUGACUUUCUGGUGAGAUUCCUGACUUUUGCUAAUCCUGAGCCGGUUCCAAAGAAAGCUGUACCUUUUCUGCUCAUUCCUCUGAGCCUUUUUGGAAUUGGACGAACACAUUUAGUUUGUUCCUCUGACAGAGUCACAUUUGCAAUAAUCAAAAGAGCUUUUGAAGCCUGGAUAGCUCAGUUGGUAGAGCAUCAGACUUUUAAUCUGAGGGUCCAGGGUUCAAGUCCCUGUUCAGGCUUGAUGUCUUGUAGUGCAGUCACUUUCUCGUUAGGUUCCUGAUUCUUGCUAAUCCUGAGCCGGUUCCAAAAAAAGAUGUACCUUUUCUGCUUGUUCCUCUAAGCCUUUUCGGAAUUGGGUUUCUCCUCAGACGUCUCAUAUUUUCCUUUAACAAGUAUUGUUUUCCAAGAUUACCUUUCAACCAAGGUCAAACCUCAGUUGGUAGAGCAUCAGACUUUUAAUCUAAGGGUCCAGGGUUCAAGUCCCUGUUCAGGCUUGAUGUCUUGUAGUGCAGUGACUUUCUGGUGAGAUUCCUGACUCUUGCUAAUCCUGAGCCGGUUCCAAAGAAAGCUGAACCUUUUCUGCUCAUUCCUCUGAGCCUUUUUGGAAUUGGACGAACACAUUUAGUUUGUUCCUCUGCCAGAGUCACAUUUGCAAUAAUCAAAAGAGCUUUUGAAGCCUGGAUAGCUCAGUCGGUAGAGCACCAGACUUUUAAUCUGAGGGUCCAGGGUUCAAGUCCCUGUUCAGGCUUGAUGUCUUGUAGUGCAGUCACUUUCUGGUUAGGUUCCUGAUUCUUGCUAAUCCUGAGCUGGUUCCAAAACAAGCUGUACCUUUUCAUCUUGUUCCUCUGAGCCUUCUUGGAAUUGGAUUUCUCCUCACCACUCUCAUACUUUCUUUUAACAAGUAUUGUUUUCCAAGAUUACCUUUCAAUCAAGGUCAAACCUCAUUUGGUAGAGCCUCAGACUUUUAAUCUAAUGGUCCAGGGUUCAAGUCCCUGUUUAGGCUUGUUGUCUUGUAGUGAAGUGACUUUCUGUUGAGAUUCCUGACUCUUGCUAAUCCUGAGC
ensembl:lncRNA